rnacentral:rRNA from 1 species
UACGUAGGGCGCAAGCGUUGUCCGGAAUUAUUGGGCGUAAAGAGCUCGUAGGCGGUUUGUCGCGUCUGCUGUGAAAACUCGGGGCUUAACUCCGGGCCUGCAGUGGGUACGGGCAGACUAGAGUGCGGUAGGGGAGACUGGAAUUCCUGGUGUAGCGGUGAAAUGCGCAGAUAUCAGGAGGAACACCGGUGGCGAAGGCGGGUCUCUGGGCCGUAACUGACGCUGAGGAGCGGAAAGCGUGGGGAGCGAACAGG